AGAGGGUGCAAGCGUUAAUCGGAAUUACUGGGCGUAAAGCGCGCGUAGGUUGGAAUUUAAGUCAGAUGUGAAAGCCCCGGGCUUAACCUGGGACGGUCAUCUGAUACUGGAUACCUAGAGUACAGGAGAGGGAAGCGGAAUUUCCGGUGUAGCGGUGAAAUGCGUAGAUAUCGGAAAGAACACCAAUGGCGAAGGCAGCUUUCUGGCCUGAUACUGACACUGAGGUGCGAAAGCGUGGGUAGCGAACAGGGAUUAGAUACCCUGGUAGUCCACGCCGUAAACGAUGAGAACUAGCCCGUUGGCUCUUAGUUGAGUAAGUGGCGCAGCAAACGCGAUAAGUUCUCCGCCUGGGGAGUACGGCCGCAAGGUUA
rnacentral:rRNA from 1 species